GAGUCGCCCAGAAGGAGAGAAGCGAGCAGUUUGGUUCCUGCACGCCGCCUGCGUGCCGUACCCUCCAACCCCGAGCCGCCGAAGCGCCGUCGGAGGAUGAGGAAACUGAGACUCAUGGAGUGAGUUUAAAUGACUUCGCCAUCACUAAGCAGUUGACUCAAGAUCCAGAUCGGACUUUGUGAUGCCAGCCCAGGCAGAUCUUGACCAUCUGAGCAACCAGAGAAGCCCAAGGCCUGUGGAUCGGAACCUAAACCUUGUUAUGAAGAAAGAAAGAAACACGCCAUUAUUAUUCUAAUCAAACUAGACCAUGUGCUGAGGGAGACAGCCAGGUGAUGAAAGUUCACUAAGUUCAGAAAUAUGGGGACCUGACUUUCGCUCGAGGCUUUGAGAUGAUGCGA